rnacentral:lncRNA from 1 species
CAGUGGAGGUCAAAGCUGAAAAAUGGUUGGAAAUCACCUUCACUCUUUGAGGACCAUCACCCAAGAAAAAUCGUCAGUUAGCUAAUCGAAUGUUGCUGAUCGAUAGAUCUGUUGUUCAGGUGGUGGCGACAUAAGUUAGCAAGUCGAUAGUGAAGUUGCGGACCAAAAAGGUCUUAUCUUUGAGCAACAAACGAAACUUCAAUCAAAAGCAGGAUAUGGGUUGGGGGAUUUGGACCAAGGGUAAAAAAUUGGUGACUAUUUUUUCUUGGGCGAAGGAAAUAGUUUGAAGAAAUAGAAGGAAAAAUUGGUGACUAUUUUUUUUUUUUUUAAUGCUAAUGUGGGAUGAAUAAAGGAGGUGAGGAAGUAGCAAACAUGGUUUAGAAGAGCAUCAUAGCAAGAUGGGGUGGUGGAGGAAGAUGAUGGUAGUAUGG